rnacentral:lncRNA from 10 species
GCUGAGAUCAGUUAAAGGGAACAUUAUGAAGUGGAUGAUUCCACCUCCCUUAUGGGCUUCCAUGCGGUGACAUCCUAUGCAUGUCUAUCAAGUUUGUUAUGAUUUUUUCAAUGCCUGUAAUUCCUAAUUGGAUUGUAAAUUCCACAAUGCAGGCAUUGUGGUUCCUUCUCUGAUGCAGGAUUGUCAGUACUUAACGUAGUAGGUGCUCAAUAAAUACUACUGAAAGAAUCAUUGCAUGAGUGUACAGGUGGUUGCCCUCCCCUUUCCGGCCCUUCAGAAUAUAUCAUUCACAGUUUUGGUGAGACAAAUAAGAAUGAGUGAAAUCUUGGUGAAAACUUGGAUCCAUGGGAGCCCUUUCCCUGAAAAAAAGGAGUUGAUAGGCUCUUCCCUCUUGAAAGGAGCUGCCGCCUUUUGAAGCUGUGCCGGGGGAACUGAAGAGGAUCUUGCCCAUUCGUCUACCAAAGAACACCAUCCUCCCAGAACUUCUUUUCUCACACUGGGCCAGCACUGGGUAUUUAGUGAAGCAGACACUCAGGAAAUGCUUGUCGAAUUGACUUUUUAAUGUGCCAUGCGAGAAAACAAAAGGAGAGGAGGCUGGGCUUGAAGUGAAGGUGAGGAGGAUGCAGAGGCACACAGAACCAGUAAAGAGGACUUCUGAACAGGAGGAAGUAUAACUGUGGGUUUUGGAUAGGAGCUUAAUAUACAUUUAGAGAAAUAAAUAUAAUCCAAUUUUAUGAGAUAUUUCUAGGGCUUGUUUAAGAACAUAUAGAAAAUAAAUGAGAAAUUGUACCACCGAUUCUCUGGGGGGAUUUACCAGUGUAGAGUUAUUUUAAUCUGUGCAUCUUCAGCCCAUGCUGUGUCUCACCUACGUAAGCCCACAGCUAUGACACCUGUCAGGACUUCUUCAAUUUGUGGAAUAUCUACCCUCAGUCACAUUCAAGGAAAACAUCAAUAAAGUAAAUGGGCAAUGCAAUUUUAAGGCUUAGAUCUGCCACUCAAAUGUGUCCUUGGAGAAGUUACUUUCUUCCAUGGACCUUAAUAUCUCUAUUCUCAAAGUGAAGUGUUGCACUGGAUAAUAAUUUUAUGUUUUUCAACAUGGACAUUUAACAUUUUUUGAUUCUCCAGGCAGUGGAUCUCUGGAGGCUGCCUGGAAUCCAUGACACUGACACUGGUCGCUCAGGCCUGCAGGGAGCCACCUAUGCAGGGAAUGCCAACCUGAGGCAAAACCAAAGGUGGGAGAAAGCCUUCAUGCUUCCCAGCCUCUCCAAUCCUGCGUAGAGCUUCUCCUCUUCCCUUCACUCAGAUCUUUACACCCAUAAUUCUCACAGUUCUUUCACAAUGAUGCCGAAAUUAUCCAGGAAAAAUUUAUUUCCUAGAUUUAAGUUACCUAAAUUUGGAAUUAUCUAGAACAAACUGCAGCCUGCAGGCCAAACCCAGCUGCCUUCUUUUACAAAUGCAGCCAUGUGCUGCAUAACAUUUUUGUUAACGACAGACCACAUAUGUGACAGUAGUCCCAUGGGAUCAUAAAGCCAUGUUUUUACUCUAUCUUUCUUAUAUUUAGGUAUGUUUAGAUGUACAAAUACUUACCAUUGGGAUACAGUUGCCUACAGUAUUCAGUACAGUCACACGCUGUAUGGAUUUAUAGCCUAGGAGUGAUAGUCUACACCAUACAGCCUAGGUAUGUAGUAGGCUUGUUUAAGUAUACUCUGUGAUGUUUGCAAAUGAUUAUAUCACCUAAGAUAUGUUUCUCAGAAUGUAUCCCCAUUGUUAAGCAAUACAUGCCUGUAAAGAUGUUUUGGAAUACAGCCACACCUAUUUGUCUGUGGUACUUUCUAGCUAUAAUGUCAGAAAUGAGUAGCUGAUAGAAACUGGAAGAACAACAAUGUCCAAAAUCUUUUCUAUCUCAUCUUGUACAGAAAAAAAGAUUGCUGAUAUCUGAUCUAGGAUAAUAGCAAUUUAGGGAUUACACAGGUCCUCUAGUCAUUCCUUCCCUCCUCCAUCCCGCAUCCCCUUGAGGUGGGGGACAUUUAGACCUUGGUGAAUGUCUUCUAGACAUGCAGCUCACAAGCCCUCAAAGUAGUUAUUACUUUAUGGCCUAAUUCCAGUUUUAAGAAUUUUUUUCUCCCUUUGGACGCAUAUAUUUUCCUCUUCUGCUUUCCAUGUGUUUGUAAUUGACCUACCUCUGAAACCAUUGGAAAUAAGUUUGAUCUUUCUUCAACAUUGCGUUGCCACAGUUGCUUCAAUAUUUGGAUUUUUCUCAAUAAAACUUCAUGCUUCACUGUCUGUGAUGCCUAGCUUUGCUCCUGGCCUUCUUUGGCAUUGGUCACUGAAGCUGACUGGGCAGCUGUGUUUCUUCCUUGAGAAAGAACUAAAGAGAACUAAAGGACCAGCUGGAGCAGACUGGGAAGGGCAGACAGAGGCCCCAGUC